UACGUAGGGUGCAAGCGUUAAUCGGAAUUACUGGGCGUAAAGCGUGCGCAGGCGGUUGUGCAAGACAGAUGUGAAAUCCCCGGGCUCAACCUGGGAAUUGCAUUUGUGACUGCACGGCUAGAGUGUGUCAGAGGGGGGUAGAAUUCCACGUGUAGCAGUGAAAUGCGUAGAGAUGAUGGAGGAAUACCGAUGGCGAAGGCAGCCCCCUGGGAUAACACUGACGCUCAUGCACGAAAGCGUGGGGAGCAAACAGG
rnacentral:rRNA from 1 species